GUCGAGAAUAAUUCACAAUGGGGGAAACCCUGAUGGUGCAACGCCGCGUGGAGGAUGAAGGUCUUCGGAUUGUAAACUCCUGUCAUGUGGGAGUAAAGCCGGGUGUUAAAUGCAUGCCGGUCUGAGAGUACCACAAGAGGAAGGGACGGCUAACUCUGUGCCAGCAGCCGCGGUAAUACAGAGGUCCCAAGCGUUGUUCGGAAUCACUGGGCGUAAAGGGUGCGUAGGCGGCGCGGAAAGUCAGGGGUGAAAUCCCGGAGCUCAACUCCGGAACUGCCUUUGAUACUCCUGCGCUUGAGAACUGGAGGGGAGAGCGGAAUUCACGGUGGAGCAGUGAAAUGCGUGGAUAUCGUGAGGAACACUCGUGGCGAAGGCGAGUCACUGGACAACAUCUGACGCUGAGGCUCGAAGGCCAGGGGAGCAAAAGGGAUUAGAAACCCCAGUAGUCC
rnacentral:rRNA from 1 species